GAUGAACGCUGGCGGCGUGCCUAAUACAUGCCAGUCGAGCGAACGGACGAGAAGCUUGCUUCUCUGAUGUUAGCGGCGGACGGGUGAGUAACACGUGGAUAACCUACCUAUAAGACUGGGAUAACUUCGGGAAACCGGAGCUAAUACCGGAUAAUAUUUUGAACCGCAUGGUUCAAAAGUGAAAGACGGUCUUGCUGUCACUUAUAGAUGGAUCCGUGCUGCAUUAGCUAGUUGGUAAGGUAACGGCUUACCAAGGCAACGAUGCAUAGCCGACCUGAGAGGGUGAUCGGCCACACUGGAACUGAGACACGGUCCAGACUCCUACGGGAGGCAGCAGUAGGGAAUCUUCCGCAAUGGGCGAAAGCCUGACGGAGCAACGCCGCGUGAGUGAUGAAGGUCUUCGGAUCGUAAAACUCUGUUAUUAGGGAAGAACAUAUGUGUAAGUAACUGUGCACAUCUUGACGGUACCUAAUCAGAAAGCCACGGCUAACUACG
rnacentral:rRNA from 1 species